AACCCUCAUCGAAUCUCUAUACAUAAUGCAGGUCACAGCAGCAUUAUUAAUGUCGGAAGCGAAAUGAUGCAUUGAGCUUCAGAAGCAAUGCUCCCUUGCUCUAUGUAUAGGUGUAAAUUCCAUCACUCGACGAACAACAAAUGAUCAACUUUUACAUGAAAAUUCUGUUGGUAGUAUGUGGGCUUCUUCAAAUUAAGGAUUCACAACUCCCUCAGAUCCAUUCUGCUGAUAGUACCCCCUCACAGGGGACGUAGUAACAUAACUUGAUGGCGCUUGCCCCCGUCUCGCCUCCAUUACAUAGCUCACAUUGUGUGGGUUUUCCUCUCAGGCCCCUUGAACAACUUGACCAUAUUCUUACUCUUAGAGAUUCAUUCAUUAAUUUUGUUUAUUCGGACACGAAUCGUGCUCUCUUUUUGACUGCCAUACUGAUGUGUAUAAACUGUAAUUCUUAUUUGUGAGUGAAGGGAUGUUGAAGUGCUUACCAUUAAUUA